UGGACAAUGAUGAAAAACACUGACAAAACACAAUAUCUUUUGGUACUGAUUGGUGCACUCAAUGUGUUAUGCUGUGUAAUCUGCAAUACUGAGUCUA